ACGGAGUUACAAAGGACGACAUUAGACGAAUCAUCUGGAAAGAUGAAUCAAAGAAGGUAAUAAUCCUGUAGUCGAAAAUGUUGUCUCUCUUGAGUGGAUCCUGAGUACGACGGAGCACGUGAAAUUCCGUCGGAAUCUGGGAGGACCAUCUCCUAAGGCUAAAUACUCUCUAGUGACCGAUAGUGAACCAGUACCGUGAGGGAAAGGUGAAAAGCACCCCGUAAGGGGAGUGAAAUAGAACCUGAAACCGUGUGCUUACAAGUAGUCAGAGCCCGUUAAUGGGUGAUGGCGUGCCUUUUGUAGAAUGAACCGGCGAGUUACGAUUUGAUGCAAGGUUAAGCAGUAAAUGUGGAGCCGUAGCGAAAGCGAGUCUGAAUAGGGCGUUUAGUAUUUGGUCGUAGACCCGAAACCAGGUGAUCUACCCUUGGUCAGGUUGAAGUUCAGGUAACACUGAAUGGAGGACCGAACCGACUUACGUUGAAAAGUGAGCGGAUGAACUGAGGGUAGCGGAGAAAUUCCAAUCGAACCUGGAGAUAGCUGGUUCUCUCCGAAAUAGCUUUAGGGCUAGCCUCAAGUGAUGAUUAUUGGAGGUAGAGCACUGUUUGGACGAGGGGCCCCUCUCGGGUUACCGAAUUCAGACAAACUCCGAAUGCCAAUUAAUUUAACUUGGGAGUCAGAACAUGGGUGAUAAGGUCCGUGUUCGAAAGGGAAACAGCCCAGACCACCAGCUAAGGUCCCAAAAUAUAUGUUAAGUGGAAAAGGAUGUGGCGUUGCCCAGACAACUAGGAUGUUGGCUUAGAAGCAGCCAUCAUUUAAAGAGUGCGUAAUAGCUCACUAGUCGAGUGACACUGCGCCGAAAAUGUACCGGGGCUAAACAUAUUACCGAAGCUGUGGAUUGUCCUUUGGACAAUGGUAGGAGAGCGUUCUAAGGGCGUUGAAGCAUGAUCGUAAGGACAUGUGGAGCGCUUAGAAGUGAGAAUGCCGGUGUGAGUAGCGAAAGACGGGUGAGAAUCCCGUCCACCGAUUGACUAAGGUUUCCAGAGGAAGGCUCGUCCGCUCUGGGUUAGUCGGGUCCUAAGCUGAGGCCGACAGGCGUAGGCGAUGGAUAACAGGUUGAUAUUCCUGUACCACCUAUAAUCGUUUUAAUCGAUGGGGGGACGCAGUAGGAUAGGCGAAGCGUGCGAUUGGAUUGCACGUCUAAGCAGUAAGGCUGAGUAUUAGGCAAAUCCGGUACUCGUUAAGGCUGAGCUGUGAUGGGGAGAAGACAUUGAGUCUUCGAGUCGUUGAUUUCACACUGCCGAGAAAAGCCUCUAGAUAGAAAAUAGGUGCCCGUACCGCAAACCGACACAGGUAGUCAAGAUGAGAAUUCUAAGGUGAGCGAGCGAACUCUCGUUAAGGAACUCGGCAAAAUGACCCCGUAACUUCGGGAGAAGGGGUGCUCUUUAGGGUUAACGCCCAGAAGAGCCGCAGUGAAUAGGCCCAAGCGACUGUUUAUCAAAAACACAGGUCUCUGCUAAACCGUAAGGUGAUGUAUAGGGGCUGACGCCUGCCCGGUGCUGGAAGGUUAAGAGGAGUGGUUAGCUUCUGCGAAGCUACGAAUCGAAGCCCCAGUAAACGGCGGCCGUAACUAUAACGGUCCUAAGGUAGCGAAAUUCCUUGUCGGGUAAGUUCCGACCCGCACGAAAGGCGUAACGAUUUGGGCACUGUCUCAACGAGAGACUCGGUGAAAUCAUAGUACCUGUGAAGAUGCAGGUUACCCGCGACAGGACGGAAAGACCCCGUGGAGCUUUACUGUAGCCUGAUAUUGAAAUUCGGCACAGCUUGUACAGGAUAGGUAGGAGCCUUUGAAACGUGAGCGCUAGCUUACGUGGAGGCGCUGGUGGGAUACUACCCUAGCUGUGUUGGCUUUCUAACCCGCACCACUUAUCGUGGUGGGAGACAGUGUCAGGCGGGCAGUUUGACUGGGGCGGUCGCCUCCUAAAAGGUAACGGAGGCGCUCAAAGGUUCCCUCAGAAUGGUUGGAAAUCAUUCAUAGAGUGUAAAGGCAUAAGGGAGCUUG
rnacentral:rRNA from 1 species